rnacentral:rRNA from 1 species
UACGGAGGGUGCAAGCGUUAUCCGGAUUCACUGGGUUUAAAGGGUGCGUAGGCGGCCUGUUAAGUCAGGGGUGAAAGACGGUAGCUCAACUAUCGCAGUGCCCUUGAUACUGAUGGGCUUGAAUAGACUAGAGGUAGGCGGAAUGUGACAAGUAGCGGUGAAAUGCAUAGAUAUGUCACAGAACACCGAUUGCGAAGGCAGCUUACUAUGGUCUUAUUGACGCUGAGGCACGAAAGCGUGGGGAUCAAACAGG